rnacentral:rRNA from 1 species
AGAGCGAACGCUGGCGGCAGGCCUAACACAUGCAAGUCGAGCGCCCGUAGCAAUACGGGAGCGGCAGACGGGAUAGUAACACGUGGGAACGCGCCCUUCGGUUCGGAAUAACUCAGGGAAACUUGAGCUAAUACCGGAUACGCCCUUACGGGGAAAGAUUUAUUGCCGAAGGAACGGCCCGCGUCCGAUUAGCUAGUUGGUGAGGUAAUGGCUCACCAAGGCGACGAUCGGUAGCUGGUCUGAGAGGAUGACCAGCAUCACUGGGACUGAGACACGGCCCAGACUCCUACGGGAGGCAGCAGUGGGGAAUAUUGGACAAUGGGCGCGAAGCCUGAUCCAGCCAUGCCGCGUGGAUGAUGAAGGCCUUAGGGUUGUAAAGUCCUUUUAACGGGGAAGAUAAUGACGGUACCCGUAGAAUAAGCCCCGGCUAACUUCGUGCCAGCAGCCGC